rnacentral:rRNA from 1 species
GAUCCUGGCUCAGGAUGAACGCUAGCUACAGGCUUAACACAUGCAAGUCGAGGGGCAGCAUGGUCUUAGCUUGCUAAGGCCGAUGGCGACCGGCGCACGGGUGAGUAACACGUAUCCAACCUGCCGUCUACUCUUGGACAGCCUUCUGAAAAGGAAGAUUAAUACAAGAUGGCAUCAUGAGUCCGCAUGUUCACAUGAUUAAAGGUAUUCCGGGUAGACGAUGUGG